CUUGGCGACGUAGCGGAAGGGGCGGAGCUAACAAAAGGUGAAAAACUUUCGAUAAUGGCGGCCGAAUACGCGACAGCGAGACCCACGGAGUAUUACAAAUGGACACAGACGUGGCCGUCAAUGCUGCCAACUUGAGGGAAGUCCUCCUCUGCUGGAAGGCCAACGACCUGGGGGAGGAGAGAGAGGAUUUCCCUGCUGGUCUGGUGGACAGCACGGUGCACAGUGGCCCGGGGCAUAGCAAAGGCUCUGGCUAAACCACGAUAAGAGGUACCGCUGGCGAGCCAAAAGAGGAAGACAAGGGCCUCGAUGACGGGUCCCCAGCCAUGGUCACACGCCGUGCCGAGGAUGUACCAUUAAAGGAUCCCCUGGAGAGUCUGAAGUCCACCAUCAUAUCACUUUCCCCAUCAAAGUACAGGGCCAGCAAUGAAUAGAACAAUGGGAUAUAUUUAAAUGUCUAUUGGGUUGCCUCUGCUUUCACUCUUGUAUUGUCACUGUAAUUAAUAGCUAUUGCAAUAAACACCCUUAUAUAAACAU